rnacentral:lncRNA from 1 species
AUGUUGAAUUGCCCAGCUGAAAUAAAACACGGAUAUGGCCUUGUGUUUGAGAUUGUACUGAAACUGGGAUUACUCCAGAGCUCUGUUUGUGAACUUGCUACUAAGAUAAGAAAUGGCAGACAAAAAAGAAACUGGGUAAAUGGUACGGAAAAAAAUGGAUACUGGAUUUGCAGAUCUUAGCAGUUGCUGAUCUUUUAGAAGCUAGUCCACAACCCAUUGUGCUUUUGGAAAUAGGAUGCCAUGGACUCAAAAAGGAAACGUGCAAUUCUUGACCUCCAACUUAGGAAAUGAUUAGAGUGGUAUUUGCUUUCAGCAACAAAGCACUGGGUUAAGUAUGCCCUAGAUUAAUAGCGCAAAUCAUCUGCUCCAGUUGGAAGAGUUAGGCUUUAGCCUGCAAAUAACUGAGCACACUUUCAACAUAAAAGAGUCUUGGAUUGCAUUAAUUAAUUCAUGAGACCUCAGCUGAAGAGAAUGUGUCCUGUUGAUGUCUUGGAUGGGAAUCAGCGGCUUCACUGCAUGGACAUAUUAACUUCCUAAGUAUCAGCACUGUGAGCUUCAUUACGGAGGACACAAUAGAUGGCACACAGCCGAGUGAGGUACACCCAGGCAGCCAGUCACUUGCAAUUAAUGUACAGUCCCCUGUGAAUCAAGCUGUUCGGCUGGCAUUCUUCAGAAAGGGAGGGAAGGGCAUCCUCGAAGGCCCUGGUUCACAGCUGACAUCCAGUCUGACCUCUCUUUCAACAAAUACAACAGGAUUUGGUUUUGUUCACUUCUAGAAAAUGUGCUAUUGUGAGAAAUACUAGGGCAAAAUGUUUGAAAAUUGGAAGAAGGGGAUUAAGAAGUGUGAAUUUUGUAGUUUUAGAGAAAUCAAAUGAUUUGACAAAAACAUUUUUUCAUUGACAAAUGGAAUAUUUUUGAAAAUAAUCUCAAAAUGCAUUUUUCAUAUGUAUUUUCCUUCUCUGUUUUCUUCUCUUUGUCCAACCCCAUUGUUCCUUUCCCUCAAAUAAAGACAAUGUAAUCUCAUACUUAUGGGUUCUU